GGACGCUUAGCUCAGCUGGUUCAGAGCGCUUGCCUUACAAGCAAGAGGUCAGAGGUUCAAAUCCUCUAGCGUCCA
rnacentral:tRNA from 1 species